rnacentral:pre_miRNA from 1 species
UCUAUCAAGUGUUGAAAGGGAUCAAAUCCCUCUAGGUGCAAACCUUUCCUCAAGUUUUUGCACCUUGAGGCAUUUGACCCCUUUGAGCACUUGAUAGA